AUUUGAAGGCCGAACGUUGUCGGAAUAGGCUCAAAUUUUAGUAUGUUGUUCGUGAGGCCGAGGACUACGAAUUGAUCGGUUUCGUUCGUUGAGAUUCCUGUCCGAAUCCUCCAUCGCGUUUAUGACGAAGUGUUGCCCGUUUCUCCUCAACAGUUCUAUGCACUAAGGAAAAACAUGGCAUUUAGCUACAUUGGGGAUAUGUGGAACAAAUGGAACAUUCGAGGCUUCGUUAUAUUGAGUGUUUUUCUCCAGAUCUUUCUUAUUCUAUUUGCACCCCUUAGAAAGAAAACAUCAAAUGAAUCAAUCUUCUUCCUCUUGUGGUUGGCCUAUUUGAUGGCUGACUGGAUAGCUGCAUUCACAAUUGGGCUCAUUUCUCACAACCAAGGCAAUUCUUUGGCUCGUCCGUUUCAAGUAGAUGGAGCACUUCAGGCGUUUUGGGCCUCAUUUCUCUUGUUACAUCUUGGCGGUCCGGAUACUAUCACCGCCUUCUCUGUGGAGGAUAGUUCACUUUGGCAACGACACUUGCUUAGUCUCAUCUUCCAAGUCGGUGCUGCCAUCUAUGUCUUUGGGCAGAUAUUUCCCACCGACAGAUCGUUGGCGGUGCCAACAAUCCUAGUUUUUCUUAUCGGAGUGAU